GACAGAGGAGCCAAGCGUUGUCCGGACUGACUGGGCGUAAAGCGCACGCAGGCGGCGCUGCGCGUGGGGUGUGAAAGCUCUUGGCUUAACUGAGAGAGGCCAUCCCAUACGGCAGUGCUCGAGCGGUGCAGAGGUCCGCGGAAUUGCCGGUGUAGUGGUGAAAUGCGUAGAGAUCGGCAGGAACAGCCCAGGGGGAAACCAGCGGACUGGGCAUCAGCUGACGCUCAGGUGCGACAGCGUGGGGAGCGAACCGG
rnacentral:rRNA from 1 species